UACGUAGGCAGCAAGCGUUGUUCGGAGUCACUGGGCGUAAAGGGUGCGUAGGCGGCUCUAUAAGUAUGGUGUGAAAUCUCCCGGCUUAACUGGGAGGGUGCGCUAUAGACUGUGGGGCUAGAGUGCGGGAGAGGAAAGUGGAAUUCCUGGUGUAGCGGUGAAAUGCGUAGAUAUCAGGAGGAACACCGGUGGUGUAAACGGCUUUCUGGACCGUAACUGACGCUGAUGCACGAAAGCGUGGGUAGCAAACAGG
rnacentral:rRNA from 1 species